rnacentral:rRNA from 1 species
AUGAACGCUGGCGGCGUGGCUAAGGCAUGCAAGUCGAGCGAGUUAUUUUUUGUAGCAAUACAGAGAAUAGCUAGCGGCAAACGGGUGCGUAACACAUUGGUAACCUACCUCGAAGUCGGGCACAACCAGCCGAAAGGCUGGCUAAUUCCACGAUGGUCUCCCCAGAGCGCAAGCAAAGGGGAGUAAAGCAGCAAUGCGCUUCGAGAGGGGCCUAUGGCCCAUCAGCUAGUUGGUAAGGUAACGGCUUACCAAGGCUAUGACGGGUAGGGGGUGUGAGAGCACGACCCCCCUCACUGGAACUGAGAUACUGUCCAGACACCUACGGGUGGCUGCAGUCACGAAUAUUCCCCAAUGGACGAAAGUCUGAGGGAGCGACGCCGCGUGCAGGAUGAAGGGCUUCGGCUCGUAAACUGCUUUUGUCAGGGAAAAAAUCUGAUGGUACCUGAAGAAUAAGUGGUUGCUAACUCUGU